GUAAACACAGAAAUGUAUAGCUGCUUAAAAACAACAUUAGAAUGUGCUACAGGGUGUUAUGAAUAAUUAAUAUAUUGUUAAUAUUCUGUUUGUAAAUACUAAUUGGCAGGUUACAAUAAAGUGUUACCAAGAUUAUGUUAAAAUAGCUUUGGUGAUGUCUGUUGAGACAUAAACGAGUCAAGAGGCAGAACUAUCACAUACGAAGUCAACAGGAAGACACGAUUAGAUGCGAAUUGAUGCAAAGUGUAAUAGAAAAUGUUCCAACUUGAGCUACGAAAAAAAGUGUGUAUUAAGUGCUUAAAGGAAAACUUAACCCCGUAAAUGAUCAUAUAUCAAUUACUCACAUCGUGUUACAUUGAAUUCAUAAAUCAAACUUCUUGCAUGAUGCAAGGUGAAUAAAGAAUCCCAAAAUUCUUCAUCAACUGAGAAAACAAGGGGGACUGCGUUUAAUGAUAACAAAAAAAUAUCAAAACAUUUAUAAACUGUGACACAACUCCUGCAGUACAAUCCAAGUCUCAUUUAUCCAGUCAUAUGCUCAGCACCUCCAAUACACAUUUCUUUUGUUACUAAAACUUAACAAUUUAAAAGACCUCUGCAUAUUCACUCUCACACGUAGCCAGUAGCCCUAUGUGUGUGAAUGCCACACAUAUCUCCAUGCUCAGGUGGUGUUAAAUUUAAAUGUGGGAUAUCUGAACAAUUUAAAUGAUAUACUGUGAAAUUCAGUUAUUCAUAUUUUUUUCAUAUUUUUCAGGCAGAGUGUCUUAAUCUUCAACAACCUUUUAGCCUGAAACAGUAAGGAGGUAUGGAUAUGCCUGCAGUAUUUUGUACCUUAAAUCAUAUAGAAGCUGAACUGUGAUGUUUGCCCAGAGACUUACUCUACAGAUCCAACAUGCUUUUCCGUUGAUGGAACGAUGGCCAAUCUUCUAAAAUUAGCUGAGCAGAUUACCAAAAGUGUAGGUGGAUCAGACUAUUUCCUAAAAAAUGUCUCAGUUAGUUUCAAAAAAGAACUGACUCUACAGAUUCUGUGUUUGAGAGAAUUCUGUCAAUAAAAAAGAUAUGACAUGAAUGGA